UACAGGACGAACGCUGGCGGCGUAGCCUAACACAUGCAAGUCGAACGGAGAGCAUAUGAAGUAUUUCGGUACGGAAUGCGUUCGUAGUGGCGAACGGGUGAGUAACACGUGGGCAACCUGCCCCAGACUGGGGGAUAACAUUGUGAAAACAGUGCUAAUACCGCAUGACAGGGUUCCGGGCAUCCGGGACUCUUGAAAGGAGAAAUCCGGUCAGGGAUGGGCCCGCGUCCAAUUAGCUAGUUGUGGGGUAACGGCCCACCAAGGCGACGAUUGGUAGCCGAACUGAGAGGUUGAUCGGCCACAUUGGGACUGAGACACGGCCCAGACUCCUACGGGAGGCAGCAGUGGGGAAUAUUGGGCAAUGGGCGAAAGCCCUGACCCAGCGACGCCGCGUGAAGGAUGAAGGUCUUCGGAUUGUAAACUUCUUUGAUCAGGGAAGAAAGAAAUGACGGUACCUGAAAAACAAGCCACGGCUAACUACGUGCCAGCAGCCGC
rnacentral:rRNA from 1 species